CUUUCGGGUUGUAAAGCACUUUAGGACGGAACNAAAUCGCGCGAUNCANUAAAUNGUGUGGAUGNCGNUCCUNCANGAAGAAGCACCGGCUAACUACGUGCCCAGCAGCCGCGGUAAUACGUAGGGUGCAGAGCGUUUAUCGGAAUNAUCUGGGCGUAAAGAUGUGCGCAGGCGGUCCGCGCAAGUCGAGUGUGAAAUCCCCGGGUUUAAUUUGGGAAUUGCGCUCGAAACUACCGUGGCUGGAGUAUGGCAGAGGAAGGUGGAAUUCCACGUGUAGCGGUGAAAUGCGNAGAGAUGUGGAGGAACACCNAUGGCGAAGGCAGCCUUCUGGGCCAAUACUGACGCUCAUGCACGAAAGCGUGGGGAGCAAACAGGAUUAGAUACCCUGGUAGUCCACGCCCUAAACGAUGACGANUAGUUGUUGGAGGAUUUAANUCNUUUAGUANCGCAGCUAACCGCAUGAAGUCAUCCGCCUGGGAG
rnacentral:rRNA from 1 species